UGGUGGGUAGUUUGACUGGGGCGGUCUCCUCCUAAAGAGUAACGGAGGAGCACGAAGGUUGGCUAAUCCUGGUCGGACAUCAGGAGGUUAGUGCAAUGGCAUAAGCCAGCUUGACUGCGAGCGUGACGGCGCGAGCAGGUGCGAAAGCAGGUCAUAGUGAUCCGGUGGUUCUGAAUGGAAGGGCCAUCGCUCAACGGAUAAAAGGUACUCCGGGGAUAACAGGCUGAUACCGCCCAAGAGUUCAUAUCGACGGCGGUGUUUGGCACCUCGAUGUCGGCUCAUCACAUCCUGGGGCUGAAGUAGGUCCCAAGGGUAUGGCUGUUCGCCAUUUAAAGUGGUACGCGAGCUGGGUUUAGAACGUCGUGAGACAGUUCGGUCCCUAUCUGCCGUGGGCGCUGGAGAACUGAGGGGGGCUGCUCCUAGUACGAGAGGACCGGAGUGGACGCAUCACUGGUGUUCGGGUUGUCAUGCCAAUGGCACUGCCCGGUAGCUAAAUGCGGAAGAGAUAAGUGCUGAAAGCAUCUAAGCACGAAACUUGCCCCGAGAUGAGUUCUCCCUGACUCCUUGAGAGUCCUGAAGGAACGUUGAAGACGACGACGUUGAUAGGCCGGGUGUGUAAGCGCAGCGAUGCGUUGAGCUAACCGGUACUAAUGAACCGU
rnacentral:rRNA from 1 species